rnacentral:misc_RNA from 1 species
AAACUGCGAUACGUAGUGUGAAUUGCAGAAUUCAGUGAAUCAUCGAAUCUUUGAACGCAAAUUGCGCUGUCGGGAAUUCCUGACAGCAUACUUGGCUGAGUAUCAUCUGGACAAAUCACAGAAAAGGGGUUUUUUUCUUUUUUUCUUGUGGAAAUGAGGUUGUCACAUUGGAAACAAUGCGUCCCUUUAAAUGAAGGAAAAGUUGGAAAAAGGAAAUUCAGUGUCCUUGAUACCAACUAGUGUGUUAAAUUGUCCUCUGGACAAAAACCUUAAACACUAUGUCGGGGCAUGGACGUUUUUUUUUUAAAAAAAGCUGUUUUUCUUUUCCAAUAAAUUAUUUUUAUUCUUUUUUGAAAUUUUGAUCUCAGCUCAAGUAAGACUACCCGCUGAAUUUAA